rnacentral:rRNA from 1 species
CCUACGGGAGGCAGUAGUGAGGAAUAUUGGUCAAUGGACGAGAGUCUGAACCAGCCAAGUAGCGUGAAGGAUGACUGCCCUAUGGGUUGUAAACUUCUUUUAUAUGGGAAUAAAAUGUUCCACGUGUGGGAUUUUGUAUGUACCAUAUGAAUAAGGAUCGGCUAACUCCGUGCCAGCAGCCGCGGUAAUACGGAGGAUCCGAGCGUUAUCCGGAUUUAUUGGGUUUAAAGGGAGCGUAGGUGGAUUGUUAAGUCAGUUGUGAAAGUUUGCGGCUCAACCGUAAAAUUGCAGUUGAAACUGGCAGUCUUGAGUACAGUAGAGGUGGGCGGAAUUCGUGGUGUAGCGGUGAAAUGCUUAGAUAUCACGAAGAACUCCGAUUGCGAAGGCAGUUCACUGGACUGCAACUGACACUGAGGCUCGAAAGUGUGGGUAUCAAACAGGAUUAGAUACCCCGGUAGUA